rnacentral:lncRNA from 1 species
AUAAAUAAAUAAAUAAAUAAAUAAAUAUAUAUAUAUAUAUAUAUGUGUAUUUUUUUUUUUUUUUUCAUGCUUCUGAUAAAAUUGAUACAAUAUUUAUGUUAUGUACAUUUUCUAAAUAUUUUUACAGUUCGAUAUGUUAAAACCUAAUUUUUUUUUUUUUUUUUGUUGUGUAUUAUUUUUUUCAGAUGCCGAUCAAUAGACUUUUCAAACAGCAAACCCAUAGAUAAAGAACUUUUCGCAUGGAAAUGUGAAGUAGAGUGGCCUUGCGUUAGCUCUCCCAAAUUAAAAAUCAUGGACAAGUGCCCUUUUCGAUGGACACAUAUAGGCAACAAUUUGUGCAUAGCGCCAGAGGAUUAUUCCAAAAAAUGCCCACCAGCAUUGGAUUUAUCAAAUUAUAACUACAAAGAAAGAAUCAGAUUAGCCAAUGAAUGCAAUUUUGAAUGGAGUUAUAUCCCAAAUGAUACUAAUAACGGUGCACUGAAACAUAAAAUAAAAAUCAACAACAUAUCUGGAGGUCCAAUAGAAGAAAGUGGAAAUAUUCUAAAGAUUGUGAAUUAAUUUGUGAUUAAUUAAUUUGUUGAUAAAUUUGUGCAUAAUAUUUUUUUUUUUUUUUUUUUUUUUAUAUUAUGACACUAUUUGUAAUACUUUAAUGAUGUUCAUAUCAUUAUCCGUUGUUUUUAUUAUACUUGUUUUAAAACAAACUAAAUGAUUUUAUUCAUUUAUCUGAUUAUUCAUUUUAUUUACUUAUUUUGUUUAUUUAUUAAUUUAUUUACUCUUUUAUUUUUUUAUUUAACAUUUCCCUUCCCAAUUUUUCUACCUUCACAUCUUAAUAAAAUGAAGAACUAUUUGACUGCUGUCUU